rnacentral:rRNA from 1 species
AACGAACGCUGGCGGCAGGCUUAACACAUGCAAGUCGAACGAGAUCUUCGGAUCUAGUGGCAGACGGGUGAGGAACACGUGGGAACAUCCUUUCAGUUCGGAAUAACGUUGGGAAACUAACGCUAAUACCGGAUACGUCCUUCGGGAGAAAGAUUUAUCGCUGAAAGAUUGGCCCGCGUCUGAUUAGCUAGUUGGUGAGGUAACGGCUCACCAAGGCUACGAUCAGUAGCUGAUCUGAGAGGAUGAUCAGCCACAUUGGGACUGAGACACGGCCCAAACUCCUACGGGAGGCAGCAGUGGGGAAUAUUGGACAAUGGGCGCAAGCCUGAUCCAGCCAUGCCGCGUGAGUGAUGACGGCCUUCGGGUUGUAAAGCUCUUUUGUCCGGGAAGAUAAUGACUGUACCGGAAGAAUAAGCCCCGGCAAACUUCGUGCCAGCCGCCGCAGUAAGAC